UUACUAGUAUAAUUCUAUCUCCUGCUCUUUUCACAGCUAUUACAGCAUUUUUCAAUGUCAUGUCUAUAAUUAUGCCCACUCCAUUCUUGCUUCUGUCCUUUCCGAUAAAUCACAAUUUGUACCAUGAAUUACCCACUCCCUUGCUUUACAAAAUUCAAACUUAAAAUAGUAACUUUCAAAAUCAAAACAUAAAGAAAGAAGAUUCAGAAUGAAUAUCCUCCACAUAUCACGCUAUGAAAAACAAUAAGCACAAGACAACAAUAGCAACAUCUUCAGAUAGACUUAAAUACACAAACUAUACAAGCUCCUAGCCCGUUAUAAGAGAGUAUAAUUGAAUAUGUUCCUUUUAAUUUUUCAGUUACAACUGAAUUCGAUAUAUUCUUUGAGUUCAUUACAUGAAAUUUUAUCAUGUACAAUAAAGAUAAAUAUAAGAAUCCACAGUACAACUAAAAAUUAAAAUCUUUAUCUCCCCAGUAAAAGAUCAAAAUUAUCUAUUUUCAGCUUAGAUAGGAGGUAGCAAAAGGACAACUAUCAGAAACUAUCAAACUGUCCACAAAAAGUUAUAAAAUUCUCAUAAAAUCUAAAAUUUUUCACUCAAAACUGAAUUGAAAAUGGUGACUUUAACUUUUAAACUCUAUCAUAUACCAUGGGCAACUACACAUCAAGCAUGAUCGUACCCUAAUAUCAACGUUUUUUUCAACACAUCCAGAAACUAACUCAAUCCCCUCUAAAUCUGGGGAGAAGACACGGGGGAAAACAGUUAAAAAUGAAGAUAAUCGGAAAUUGAAUAGAUAAAGACGAGUUCAUAGCUUGCAAGCAAGAUACCUGGAGGUGAAAGAAAGAGAUG
rnacentral:misc_RNA from 1 species